rnacentral:lncRNA from 1 species
UGUAGCAUAGUAAAAUUUGAUUUUUUUUCAAACGACCUUGAAUUGAGGAACAACCAAAAUCUAAGUUGUACAUCUCAAAGAGUUAUACAAUUUAUAGUUGAUAACUUUUUUUUAUUUCAAAUCAUCUAUCCAACAAAAGUUAUAUUUAAAUUUCUCACAUUUAAAAUUCAAAGUUUUCAAACGAUCUAGGAUGGAGAAGCAACUGAAACCAAAGUUAUAGAUCUCAACGAUAUCUACAACUUUGUAGUUGAGAACUUUUUUAUUUGAAUUGGUUCAAGGUCCCAAAUAUCAUUUCAAAAUCAGAUAAAAGAUAAUAUGAGGGGGGAUGUUCAUAUGGACACAAGUAACUUAUGGUGGAGUGGUUAGAGGAGAUACACGCGCGAAAAAUCGUAUGCCUUGUGCUUUUGACGGCACGUGUUUGCUUGGUGGGAUUUGCCUUGAUCAUUUUUUUUUUUGCGAUUUUUUAGUCACAGAUUGUUGAUUUCUGGACAACGAUUUGUAGAAGCAGCUUAAAAUACAACUGUCUCUACAAAUCGAUUUCUACUAUGGGACUUCUAUUCUAGCCAUCCCUAUAAAUAGAGAAUUCACGGCAGAAUCUACAACAUUGAGGAUCAUCAUAACGUUGGCAGUUAAUUAGAAGGUGAUUAAUAUAUGUUUUUUAAGCCGUCAGUGAUAUCCAAAAUUUAUGAUCAUAUAUACUAAAUUAUACUAGCUUAAGAAGGUUCAUGAUCGAACCUUGUGAAUGAUAAUACUGUCGUCACCGUAAUAAGAGACACUGACACAAUUAUCUUACUAUUACUAUCACUAAGCCAUAUUACUCUAUCACUGUUGGGUCUAAUCUAGCAUCAUUACUCAAUUCAGAUCCAACAGAGAGUAAUCAGAAGUAAUGGGCUUGCCAGUUCUAGACCCACCAGUGAUCGAUUAUGUAAUAAAAAAUAGAAAUAACAGACUACUGCCACUAUCGGGUCCAAAUCCAAGGCCAGAUUUUGAUUCGGUAGAGAGCAAUCCUACAUCACUGCUAAUCCAGCAUAUCACUUAUCAUUACCGGGUCUAGAACGUGUAGUGAUGUUGGCUCGGAGGUAUAGUUCCGAAGGCUUGGACCUUCAGGGUAAUGGCUAUGAAUACCGAGGCAAUAAGAAAACAAUGGUGGC